CUCAUAUUCCUGAAGAACAUAACACUACAAUUAGCAGCAUUACCACUCAUAUUCCUGAAGAACAUAACACUACAAUUAGCAACAUUACCACUCAUAUUCCUGAAGAACAAAACACUACAAUUAGCAACAUUACCACUCAUAUUCCUGAAGAACAUAACACUACAAUUAGCAAAAUUACCACUCAUAUUCCUGGAGACCAUAACACUAAAGAACACAGAGAAUACGGAGGUGACCCAUAAGACUACAGAGAAUGCUGCAGCUGUAGUUGCUGGGGGCAGAGAGGGAGUCCCAGGAUGGGGGAUCGCUCUAUUGGUACUGGCUGCCCUGAUCUUGUUAAUCCUCCUUAUUCUCCUAAUACUGCUGAAGCUCCAGUCAAUUGGGUAAGAAGACCAUCUGAAAUGACCUUAUGAAGUAAUAUGCAUGGGAGCAAUGACAAUUCUGUACAAAUGGUCCAAUUAUCUCUGAAGAUCAUGGCGUUGGCUCACUGAUUGUAAUUUCAACCUGUAUUUAUUCAAAUCAAAUCACAUUGAUUUAUAAAGCCCUUUUUACAUCAGCUGAUGUCACAAAGUGCUAUACAGAAACCCAGUCUAAAACCCCAAACAGCAAGCAAUGCAGAUGUCCUGUUAUUUUAUUCCUAAUGUUUUUACCAGUGGAGGCUGCUGAGGGGAGGACGGCUCAUAAUAAUAGCCGGAAUGGAGUCAAUGGAAUGGUAUCAAACACGUGGUUUCCAUGUGGUUGUUACCAUUCCAUUGACUCCAUUUGUAUUUCGUAUUAUUCUGUACGUAAAUCAGAGACACUCCAUUUAGUAUAUGUUACUCCUCCCCGACCAACCUCCCUACUUUAGUUUCUGUCUAAAGUAACCAGGCCAUUGAAAGGUAUCAUAUGUCUUGACGUGCUCAGAAAUACAUCAAUUAUGUUUCUAAUGGCUCUGAGGCCAGGCUAGCCAUUUUGGCUUCCUUGUGGUUAUGGGUUGAGUUGUAUUUUCAGUCUUUACUGAAGGCAAGCUUAACCUUUGUAAAAAAGAAAGCUGAUCCUAGUUCAGUAAAUGGGGUCAACAUAUGUAUUCUGCAAUUAACAUUUAAGAAGAAUGAGUAGGGGAGCCCCUAAGGACAAUACCCAAUCAGGUACAGUUAACAAGAAGUUAAUUGUUUUCAAAGACUGUAAAUCAAACCUUUUGAUUUGGGCUGAGAGAUCCCGAUCUAAUUCCCUACUACUGGAUAAGACAUGUUUUGAGAUAGGA
rnacentral:lncRNA from 1 species